rnacentral:lncRNA from 1 species
GGUUUAGCUAUUAAAAUCUGCCCUUUGAAGAGCAUGCACAUUUUAGCAUAUAAUGUUUAGUAUGAUUUCAUGUUUUUGGAGAAUUUUUGAGGAUAAUCUCAAGGCAUUUCAUUUCUUUCCAUAGGGAUAAUCCCUUUUUUUCAGAGUACAUCUCAUUUCCAAGUGGCUGUUGCGCUGCUGUUUGCCCCCACUCCUUCAGUGCGACAGACAGCCUCAGAGCUGGUGGGGAGACAGCAUGCCACUGGAAAAAUUCGUAGACAUGGAAUUCCUGGAUCAAAUGGUAUGAAACAAUUUAAGGUUUCUUCCCCCCAACACCUAUCACCUAAUUUAUUUAUUAUAUGUGGUAUAAACAUUAUUUUCCAGCCAUUGUUUUCCUAUUAAUUUUUACCAUUUAUGGUGGUGAUUUUUUGAUAUUUUACAGUUUUACAUGUUAGAUUUCCAUAUCUGACCAUUUUAAGUGUUGUGAUUUUUUUCUUUCCUUUGAUUAGUGUAUUCACCUGUAUUUUUUUCUAGUUAUUUAAUUGCUUCAUUUUUUACAAUUAACUCCUUAAUCCACCUAGAAUUCAUUUUGAUAUAUGGUAUACAGUAGGAUUUAAUUUUUUUUCCCCCUAAUAGGUCACCGAUUGUUUCAGCAUCACUUAUUGAAUAAUCCAACGCAACAACUGUUCUUCCAUUAGAUAGGGUGUAGCUUUCCACAGGUCGGCCAUUUUCUCUUUACCCAAGAUGGUUACAUUUUGCAAUGGUACUCCUACCUUCCUGCAGCUUCUGACAGCAUACUAGAGCACCAUGUUUGUGCUUGUGCGUUUCAAAAAUCCUAGGCACAUGCAGAUUAGGGCAGUAUUUUAAACAGGAUUUUUUUUUUCAUUUUAAAUAUGUUAAGUUUGUCACAUUCUUGUUGCAAAUUAAAAUUAAGGAAUCCAAAUAUAUGAAACCACGGUUUCAGGUGUGCUAUUCCUCUUAGGCGCACCUGAUAUCCCAAUUGUGUGUUAAAAAAAAAAAUACCCCCGGGGUUAAAGUUCCUCCUUCAACCUCUUUUUUUUUUUUUUUUUUACUCUUCAGAUACUCAAAGAGUUAAAGUUGGCUCGACUCAGUUCUUGGAAUUUUCUAGAAUGAUAUAAGAGGGAAAUACAAGAAAUGUAUGAGGAGUAGAAGUAAAUAAUGUUUGCCAGCCUGUUGCUGGCCGUAGUCUCAUGUAGGGAUUUAAAGGAGCUAGGGUGAGUCCUAACCCAUGCCACCACUGCCACUACCUCUUCUAGAUAGGGACACACCCCAGUGAGCCACCUCUUUUCACUGCAGGUGUAAGGCUCAAGACAUAAGGCAAGGAGUUUUUUAGUAGGAGAUGGGUUAAAUAUUGCCCAGAGAAAUCUGACAAUUAAAAUCACUUGCUACCUAUUACCAACCCUCUCCCGGGCCCCCAACGAAGCUUUCUCUCUCUAUUGACUUCUGCACCGGGCCUCUUAGCUUUACUGAUUCUGGGGGGGAAAAAAAAGGGCGGGGGGAGGAUGGCGCGUGAGUGGGAGGCUGCCUUGCCUGCGGUUAUUGCAAGGGGCUCCUUUGGCUCACAGCCUCAGUCCCAGUAGUUUCCUGACUUGCCGCAUUAGACUGUGUUUUGUUUAUGAGGAGGCUGGUUUCCCUGGCAAUGGCAGCUCGCCAGUGCAUGCGCAUUUGCUCCACUGCAGUAGCAGAAUGCGGCUGUGGGGCCAGGGGAGGGGUCCUGAGGGCCGCAGUGGCUGGAGUUAUUUGGCAGACAUGACGUCAGUUUUUCUGAGCUAAACUGCCAUCGUUACUGUAUAUGGAGCAUUUUUUUUUUUUUAAAUAAAGCUUGGAAGGCUUUUAGCCACUCCUUUUCUUUCCUCCCAAAUUAACUGCUCUCUAUAUGCUCACCAGUGACCACGAAGGCUUUCUAAGGUUUGAGGCCACCGAUGCCCUCAGGGCCCCGAGGGGAAUCAUAAUAGUAUGAGAACAGGAAACAGACUGCCUGGUUUCAGACCUCGGCUGCUUGCUAGUUGCAUGACUGUGGGACGGGUUACUUAAAUCUCUUCGUUUCCUCAGAUGUAAAAUGGGGAUGCUAACAGCAUGUUUAGAACAGUGUCUGGCACAUAGUAACCAUUAUGUAAGUGUUGUCUAUUAUUAUUUGUAGAUACUAAGGGGGACUUGCCUGGAAGCAGACUUGUGUCCGCAGUAUACAAACUCACCCUUUAAUGCACACACUGACCAGAUAACACAAACACAUUUACCCCCACAGCACCUAGACUCUUCUCACAGUACACACACUUGCCUUCCAGUACACAGACAUAUCCAAAGGCACACCGACAAGCACCACAGCAAAAAGAUGUUCCCCAGAACACAUGGACACCCCAAUCCCCGUAUCAUUAGACUCUCCCAGAGGCACGUAUGUACUGCUUAAUGCAGAGACUCACCUGAGGCACACUGAUGCACCCCGCAUGACACAGACUUGCCCCCCCAUAAGGACUCUACUAUGACACACAGACAAUCCCAACAUCACACACUGUUCCCACAUCACACGAACCCAUUUUAGGAAACACACAGCAUACAGACUUACCCCAUAGAACACGGCUUCCCCGACAAGCACACAUACUCUCAAGGCCAGUAGACUCACCCCACAGCACACAGACUUUCUCUAGAGUGUACAGCUUCUUCCCACAGCAAACAGACUCUCCCCAGGGCACACAGACACCCCUGACAUCACAUACUCUCACCACAGACCAUAGACUCGUCCUAGAGCACAGGGACUCUUGCCAAUGAAACAGACUUUCCCGAGAAUAGACUCAUGAGACAGCUUGAAGACCCGCAUCAUGACACAAAGACUCUCCCACAACAGACAGACUCACCCCAUUGUGUACAGACAAGCACCAUAGGCCACAGACCAUCACCUCAGGACACAGACUUGCCCAGCACCACACAGACACUCUGCAGAGCACGUAGAGUCACCCCGCAAAGCACAGACUAAACCCAUACUACAGAGACUCUCCCUAUAGCUUUCAGACAAGUUUACCCCACCACAGAGACAUGCAACGGUACAUCUUACAACAUAUAUCACUCCUUGAUGCACACAAUUGUGCCACAGCACACAAACUUGUCCUACAGUGCACAAAUUCAUGUCACAAAAGACACACUCACCACACAAUACAAAUACUUGCUCCAGCCGGACGCGGUGGCUCACGCCUGUUAUCCCAGCACUUUGGGAGGCCUAGGCAGGUGGAUCACCUGACGUUGGGAGUUCGAGACCAGUCUCACCAACAUGGAGAAACCCCGUCUCCACUAAAAAUACAAAAUUAGCCGGGCAUGGUGGUGCAUGCCUGUAAUCUCAGCUGCUCCGGAGGCUGAGGCAGGAGAAUCGCUUGAACCCAAGAGGCGGAGGUUGCAGUGAGCCAAGAUUGUGCCACUGCACUCCAGCCUGGGCAACAAGGGCAAAACUUUGCCUCAAAAAAAAUAAAAAAAUAAAAAAAAAAACAACCCAGCAACAAAAACAAACAAAAAAAAACAAUUACUUGCUCCAGAGUUCACUCAUUUGCCCUAAAAUAUCUAGACCUUACCCCAGAGUUACCACACAAUGCAUGCUGUGUCCCUGCAUCACCAAAAUACAACUCAAACUCCUCAGACACACUCUGAUAAAUAGACAUACCUGACAAUGUACAGCUUGGCAUCAUAGCAGGAAAAACUGGCUCUACAACAGAUUUAUUCUACAACAGACACACUCAGGCUGUAGAGACACCUAAUCUUUCUUUAAGGUAUUCAGACCCACCCUUUUGGGCACAGUCACAGAUGUGAUCCAGGAUACCCUCACCCAUCCCACAAUACUGAUGCAACCCACAGCGUACAAACACAUCCCACAGCAUAACACUCUAAGCCCACAGUGCUCAGAAAUGUCAGGCACACAUUUGCCAUACAGAUUUACUUCACACACAAAAAACACAGCCAGGUGGGUGGCUCAUGCCUGUAAUCCCAGCACUUUGGGAGUCCGAGGCGGGCGGAUCACAAGGUCAGGGGUUCAGGACCAGCCUGUCCAACAUGGUGAAACCCCGUCUCUACUAAAAAUACAAAAAAAUUAGCCGGGCAUGGUGGCACAUGCUUGUAGUCCCAGCUACUCGGGAGGCUGAGGCAGGAGAAUCACUUGAACCCAGGAGGUGGAGGUUGCAGUGAGCCGAGAUCAUGCCAUUGCACUCCACCUUGGGCAACAGAGUGAGACUUCGUCUAAAAAAAAAAGAAAGAAAGAAAGAAACAAACAAGAAAACAACAACAAAAAACACUUCUUAUAGUGCCUAUACAAUGCAAACAUGUAUCCCAAAAUAUAUGAAACUAUUUGCUAUGUCACUCUUAGGUUUACCCCAAAGCACAUAGACCGUUUUCACUGCUCAAGCUGCUGCCUACAAAACAGGAGAUGCCAAGCCAUGCACAGAAAUUCACCAAAAUGCACAGAUUCACCUAUCAAUAUACAUACUUGCCUCACAACUCACACAAACACCACCGAGCACUGAGACUCACCCUAAAUGUACAGACAAGCCCUUCAGGGCACAGACUUACUCUGUAACAUACUAAAUCACAUCCCCCAUACUUAGAUGUGCCUUAUGAUUCACAGUGAUGCGUGUAAACACAUAGAUUGCUUCCACAAUGCACAGAAUUGCAUCAUAACACAGACUUACUCUACAGUGCAAAACUGACAGUGCACAUAAACAUUUCCCAGUCGGCUAGACACACAACACACAUAUUACUCCUACAAUGUAAAGAUUUCCAUCACGGUGGACAGACGUGCUUUUCCAUGCUGUUGAGCUACAACUCUGGCCUACAACAACAGAAAUACAGCUUGUGUAAUAGUUACCAGCAAGGCCUCUAGACCCAUACUAACUGGGUUUGAAUCAAGGUCCCGUCCCUUGCUGAUUGUAUCACCUUGGGAGGAGAUGGAAGAUUGAGAGCAGAGUGCAAGAAUGGGAAGAGGGCUUCGUGCCCUGUGCACGUUUGCCACCUAGUGACCAAACUGAAUGGUGUGCUUCUCACCUCAGCGUGAUAGCCUGACCUUGACUCCUGAGUUCCACGAUCGCUUCACAACUGCAAGUCACCAUCAUACAAAAUUUGAGUUUCCCUAAGUCCGCGCCUUUGAGAGCUUUGGAACGAUAUGCAAGUUCAAGUCACCAUCCUGUUUCUUGCUACCUCCUGUGAGAAGACCAACAUUUGGGUUACACUUGUUUCUACUCUUGUUCUUCUGCUUGUUAUUGUUGCCUCUGCAGCCAUUGAUCACACACGUGUUGUCAUACAAAAACUGGUUAGCCUUUUUAUUUGUCUUGUGAAUUUUAUCAUUUGGUUCUUAAGUAUUACAAAUUAAUAUUGUGUACUCUCAUUGAUAUACAACUUGCAGUCAUUGUAAAUAUGCGUGAGUUAGGGGUGAGAAUGGCAUGCAAGCAAAAGAACAAGGAGAGGGAUGAUAGAGAUGCAAGAAGAGUAAAGAGGGCAAGAAAGUUUAUGUUAAUAGCGAACACAAUGAAAGUUCUUUAAAUGCUUGAUAAUGGUGAAAGCAACACUUCCUAGGGCAUAUUUUUGGUGUUAAUGAACCUACACAUCAUACAAUAAAGAAAAUUGAGAAAGCAGUUGGGGCCAGUGAAUCGGGGGCACACAAGAAUCACUGAGAAAAUCAUACACAACUCAAAAUGCCACAAUAGGGAAAAUAUAAAGAGAUUUGCACUUGUGGCUUCUAAAACAGAGAAGGUUGAAUAGGUCUCUUUCUGUGUGUAAAAUCUGCCAGUGAGCAUCACAAAAAUGCAAAUUUAAAUUUCAAUCUGGAUGGAAAGUUAUAAAAUUCAUUGCAAGUAAUGGGUGGUUGGGUAGGUUUAAGAAAUGCCAGGUGGGUGGAUCACUUGAGGUCUGGAGUUUGCAACUAGCCUGGCCAACAUGGUGAAACCUUGUCUCUACUAAAAAUACAAAAAUUAGCCAGGAUUGGUGGCGGGUACCUGUAAUCUCAGCUACUCAGGAGGCUGAGGCAGGAGAAUCGCUUGAACCUAGGAGGCAGAGGUUGCAGUGAGCUGAGAUCGUGCCAUCGCACUCCAGCCUGGGUGACGAGAGCAAAGCUCUGUCUCAAAAAAAGAAAAGAAGAGAAGAGAAAAGAGAAGAGAAGAAAGAAGAGAAGAGAAGAGAAGAGAAGCUGUGGCCUGUAAUGAAAAGAAGUGGAGAAGUGACUGUCAGAGGAAGCAGAUUAAGGAGCUGCCGGAGAGUAUCCUGAAUACCUGAAGAAGACGAUUGAGGACAAUGGCAAUUUGCCUGAGCAGGUUGUCAGUGCUGCUGAAACUCUGGAAGCAAAUGCCUACUUGCACAUCUAUUGCAAAGCAUGAGAAAAGGACCAGAGGCUUCAAGCCUGGAAAAGACAAACUCAAAGUUCUGCUUUGUUCCAGUGUGUUCUGAUUAAACCCAUGUUGCUUUACAGAUUCCAAAAUUGUUACCUUCUUUAAAGAGAAAGCCAGAAACACUUUUCUGUGUACAUGAAGGGAAACCAUGAAAUAUGGAUCACUGAGAAACUCUUUUUGAACUGGUCUUUGAAGUGUUUUGUUCUGAGGUUAAAUAACAUUUAAAUGAAAAAAAAAUCUUGACUUCACAGUGUUGUGAUUCUGGACACUGCUCCUACAGACAAAAAUGCAGUCAUAAAUGCUGCUCCUUGUGUUCAAGUCAUCUCCAUUACCCCCAGUACGACUCCACUCCUUCAACUCUUGCAUCUGAGAGUGCUAGCGAUGUACUGUGCUCUGCAUGUAUUUUGACUACCUGAAGAUCUUAUCAGAGACACCAGAACUUUACCAUGAAAGUGGCUUGGCAACAUUUCUCCGUUUGUAAUGCUUUAACAGGUGUAGAAGAAUCAGUGAGACAAAUAAAACAAUCAAUACUUAAUGAAGUCUGGCAGAAAUUUUGGAAUGAGGUUGUGACUGAUUUGGAAGGUUUCCUUCCAGUGGUAGAAGAAAUUGAAAAUAUUGUAACAUCUGCAAACCAUUUGAAUAGUGAAGGCCUUGAAGACAUUGAGUUAAGUGACAUUACUGAAUUGUUAGACUCUCACCUUCAAAAGAUAGUUGAGAAAUAUUUUGGAGAUGUGAUCACAUCAAAAGGCAAUAGAAGAAGCCAGCAUAGGUUAACAUCCAGAACUCUAAGAAUGUUCAAGUAUCUACUCCACAAAUGAAAUUGUCACAAUGAUUCAAAAGAAAGAGAUCCUUUGGUGGGCUACAUAUUGACUUUCAGGGGAGAAGAGGUUGACAUUAGGCCAUGUCAUUCAAACCCGUUCUGCAAACAGGAAAACAGGAAGUAGAAACGCCGCACACAGAUAGUUAAACCUUGGGAUUCAGACUCUGAUGGCUCUGAUGAUAUGGUGAUUUGUGUGCUGGGGAUGAAAGAGGAGCAGAAGACUGAGCUUACAUCUCUUCAGACGAAAUGCAAUUUUCUCUAUUCUUUCCCUGUUACUAUUGUUACGACCAAGCAUUUUCAUUGAUCCAUUAUCAUCUUCAUCUUGAGAUCACAAAGGAAGUUAAUUGCCUGAUAUCCACUCUUGUUAAUAUAAAAUAUCAAUGAUAUUUAUUUUAUUGUUUUAGUUUGGUGAACAAACUGAUUGUCUAGGCUUUCAUAAUACUCAUGUCCUUGCCUCAUUUUUUCCUAAAAAGUCUUAAAUUCCUCCAACAUGGGUACUCUGAGAGUUUCGGGAACUCAACUAUAGCAUUUAAGGAGUGGGCUGCUACUGUACUUGGCUGGAUAAUUUGAUUUUGUACUCCUGAAAUUUGUUUUAAUUCUGAUUAAGCCUAACUUGCGAUCUCACCAGAAAGGAUUAGUUUGGUAUAAGUUAAAUUAAUUUCUUUUCCAGCAAUUGUAUAUGUUAGCUAUUGGCUGAUCCUGAAAAGCAGUAUAUUUAUGUUAAAUUUCCAGAUUUCCUUUGGUAGCUAAUCAAGGAGGAACAGCUGCUAGAGUUCAUUUUCAUAGAUUCUUUCUGUUCUCAUAUCUGGCCUCCUCAGUGAUUUGAAGAAUUGAAUAUCCUCCAAAAAAUGGAUAUUAUUACCUCCUGUUCUCUGAUGGUGAUGGAGACUUCAUUCUCAGAUUGUUUUUAAAUUCCUUUCAUAAUUCCAUAUAUUUACUUCAUUUGAUUCAAUUGUGUUACAAAAGUUAUUGUCAUGGUUGUUUUAAUUUUGGAUGUUUGGAAUUUUCCAGGCAGAUUUAACAGAGGAAAAAAAACCACAAAGCCAGAGAUACGACGCUGUUAUCUUGUUCUAAGAAUUUUGGGCAAAGGCAUAGGCUGAACCUGCCUGUUCUUUUGGCUGCUUUACACAUUCCCAACUGAUGUCCAUUUUGAACUCAGUUGGACAGUUAUUCUGGGGAAUAGAGAGGAAGUCCAAAUAACAUCGCUGUUGUUUCUGUCUUAAUUGCUGUUUGUGCCGGAUUCACAGCACUGGCCUCAUCAUUAUAUCUGAUAAUGAUGCACAGAAAACCUGAAUAGAGAAAAGAAGAAAGAUAAUUCAUUGGCAUGUGCUUGCCAAAAAGAGACUUUAUAUAACUUGAGAAAGCAUAAAGACAACCUGGAAUGAGGAAAUGUAUGUACAGUAAUGAAAAAAAAAUGCUUUAAACAGCUGUGUCAAAAACUGACAUCAGAGAGUAAAUUGAAUUUGGUUUUGUAGGAAGCAGGAAGCAAGCCCACUCAAACGUUGAAAUUUGGCAUGAGGGAGUCCAGUAACUUUCUCCUCAAUCUGUGAACUAUAUGUG